rnacentral:lncRNA from 1 species
UGGCAACGUAUCACUGGCCUUUGCCUAAGAAAGAAAUGGAACAGGCCAGACUAGGUUAGUCAUGUAUCUUACUUUACAGUCCUCUGUUUGAAGGGUUGCCAGUUCUCCAUUUGAAGGGCUGGUGGGUCCAAGCCCCAUUUAAAGAUGAAGAAUAGUGCAAAGGGAGAGCAGAGGCCUUUACGCUGCACAUCAACUAUUACCACAACUGGACACCAGCUGAGCAGCCACACAGCUCACCAG